CUUUCCGCGGGGAACCGUGAGGGGUGGGGGAAACUUUGAAAGUUGGAUGCUGCAGACCCGGUACUGGAAAGUUUCGCGUGGGGGGCGUUUGUGGGGGAAAUGGGGUGCUUUCCAGGGUUCUUUUUCGCUGCAUCCGAAGCCAUGAGUAGCAGGAAGCUCAGACGAGUGGGUUUAUCACAAGAGCUGUGUGACCGUCUGAACAGAUAUCAGAUUGUUACCUGUCAGGACUUUUUAUGUCUUUCCCCGCUGGAACUUAUGAAGAUGACUGGCCUUAGUUAUAAAGGUGUCCAUGAACUUCUAUGUAUGGUCAGCAGGGCCUGUGCUCCAAAGAUGCAAACGGCUUAUAGGAUAAAGAUGGAAACGUCUGCUUCUCUCUUGCCCGCAUUCUUAGCUACAACCCUUUCUGCAUUGGAUGAAGCCCUGCAUGGUGGUGUGGCUUGUGGAUCCCUCACAGAGAUUACAGGCCCACCAGGUUGUGGAAAAACUCAGUUUUGUAUAAUGAUGAGCAUUUUGGCCACAUUACCUACCAACAUGGGAGGAUUAGAAGGAGAUGUUGUGUACAUCGACACAGAGUCAGCAUUUAGUGCUGAAAGACUGGUUGAGAUAGCAGAAUCUCGUUUUCCCAGAUAUUUUAACACUGAAGAGAAAUUACUUUUGACAAGCAGUAAAGUUCAUCUUUAUCGGGAACUCAGCUGUGAUGCAGUUCUGCAAAGGAUUGAAUCUUUGGAAGAAGAAAUUAUUUCCAAGGGAGUUAAACUUGUAAUUAUUGACUCUGUUGCUUCUGUGGUAAGAAAGGAGUUUGAUACACAACUUCAGGGCAACAUGAGAGAAAGAAACAAGUUCUUGGCAAGAGAAGCGGCCUCCUUGAAGUAUUUGGCUGAGGAAUUUUCAAUCCCGGUUAUCUUGACGAAUCAAAUUACAACGCAUCUAAGCAGAGCCCUAGCUUCUCAGGCAGACCUGGUGUCUCCAGCUGAUGAUUUGUCCCUGUCUGAAGGCACUUCUGCUUCCAGCUGUGUGAUGGCUGCCCUAGGAAACACCUGGAGUCACAGUGUAAACACCCGACUGAUUCUCCAGUACCUUGGUUCAGAGAGAAGACAGAUUCUCAUCGCCAAGUCCCCGCUGGCUCCCUUCACCUCAUUUGCCUACACCAUCAAGAAGGAAGGCCUGGUUCUACAAGAUUUGUACAGGCAUUAGCAGGAGCUUUCACAAUCAAAUAUGAUUUGUGAAGUAAGGACCCUGUUUACUUUAGCCUGCUGAGCCUGGAAGAGAAGCUCCUUUAUGGCAGAAAAAAAGAGAAGAAAAGAUAAAUCUUUCCUCAGCUGUGAAACAAAGUUCAAAGAAGACCAAACCCUACUUUUGUUUUGCAUCUACCUGAUCUGGUUGCCCAGCUCACUGCAAGGAAGAAAACUAGAAUAAUGAGCCACGUUGGAGACUGUCACCCGAGCAGCUCCGGAAGGACGUGGGCAGACGCCUGGCUGGGCGGCUGACUUUCUCUGUUUCUGGUUGAGAUUUUAUAAAUAUUUGGGGAGUUUGAUCUGAGGCUGGUGGUGGGGAGGCGAGGGGAGCAGUGGAAGGGGUAGAUAACUCAGCCCAUGGGGGUUCUUGGACCUCUCCCAGGCCUGCUUUUCAUUAGUGUCACCAAGGCAACUGCUCAUCUGCUGUAGACCCCAUCAUGCCCUGCAAGACAUCCACAGCAUGUAGGGCUUUUCCUUUAAUGGUGAAUCUGCUGCCAUCAGUACUCCUCCAAACCCCCACCCCUCAACCCCAUCACUUGCCCGGGGAAGAGGAGAUAAUUCAGGGGGAGAAAAACUGAUCCCAACUCUCUAAGGCUGGUGAGGAGGGAGAGAGGCACAAUAGUCCCCUUCCAAAGGCUGCCAUUUGUCCAGGACUGUUGGAGUUCGGGUGGUAACAAGCCCCUGGUAACCAGACUGUAGCAACAUCCACUUCCAGCCACUCCUCUGUUUCCCUGGCUGACCCGACCUUUCACCCUCCACACACCCCUUUAUUCUUGACCAAGGCAAACCUUUGCAGAGUGCCCAAGAAAGGACCUCACCAGUCAACAUGCUGCUAAGUUCCAGAUGCCCACUCGUGUACAAGCCCAUAUGGGUCUUUGGUUUCUCACCAAGGUGUCCAGAGGAUCCUAAAAGGGUGGUGUUGGGGGAGAUGGAAGCUGGCCAGAGGAGACAGGAGACCCAUGUUUGCCAGGCUGUGAGAAUGAGCAAGUAAACCAGAAGAGGUGAUGGUUUUCUCUUGGAGAAAGGAAAGCUGGAUUGUUUGAUUGUGUGACCAGGUAGGGAACAGCACCCAGAGCCUGUAACCCCCACCUGGGCCCCCGCACCGCAGACACUCCCCCUCUCAGCACUGACUCCAUGGAACUCCAGAGACCUGUUUAAAACUCGGCUCCCUCUGGCUGUAAGCUCCGUGGGCCACAGCCAAGGAAUCCCGGCCUCCGCCGUGUGCAGCGUCAGCACAGCACCUGCGCCAGAGGCCCUCAGUGAUGUCUGCUGAAAGACGGGAAGGAGCAUGUCAGGGGGCUGCAGGGGCUGGGUUUUCUGGGUUGUCCUUCUAGCCUGUCUGUGCUCCUGAGCAAACCUGAGCCAGAGCCUCUCCCACCCCUCCUUUCUGUGGAAUGCAGGUCACCGCAGCCUUACUGAAAGAUCUGUCCUCAGACCCCUGGAGCCAGCCCUGAGGGCUGCAACUAGAAAGCCACAGAAGACCCCCUCCCCCAGCUACCAGUGGAGCAGAACCAGGACCCCAAGUCAUCUGGACUCACACAAAGGCAGCUUCUGCCUCUUGCUUUUUUGUGCCUUUUCCCACCAAGAUUGGCCCUGGAGGAGCAAACCCGAGUUCCUCUGCUGGUUUGAACAGGAAAUUCCUGUCAGCUCGUUGGAGAGGCCAACCGGAGGAGAUUUCAUCACAUAGAUUCCCCCCGAGAUACAGAAUCGUAUCAAAGUCCUAUCCCAGCCUGGGGUGGGGUGUUGGGGGAGCAGCCGUCCUCUGACAUCCGGUUCUGUGCCUCACUGAAGCAGCACUGCCAGCCUCUCUUACCUAAAGCUGGGGUGGGGUUUUCCAACUCAGCCUGGUAAUGGGGAGGAGUGGAGUGAUUAGCAGUAAUUCGGUGCAUCGCUUUAGCUGACUGGGUGGCACGGGUGGUUUUUCGGUCUGUUCUGGUGGCAAAUCUACACUGAAGAGGCAGAGAAAUGCCAGCCCGGAUGGCACAGACAGCGUGGGUUGAGAAAGCCUGCGGGGUGCAGGUCCUUGCUUCUCAAAGUCGUCCUGGGGCAUGCGCAUGGCCAUCACCAUGGGUAUGCAAUCUCAGGGCAAUCUCAGCCCUUACCCUUAAUCGGGGAAUACGUUUUAACAAGACAACCCGGUAUUUGGAGGCACGUUGGAGUUUGCAACGCACCUGAUCUCAGGAGAGAAUGUACGGGCGCUUCCAUCUCUGACCUCACGGAUUUUAAUAUCAGUUCUGUCACUCAGUAACAGUGUGACAUUAGGCACAGAAACACACUCGCUGAGCCUUGGUUCCCUCAUCUGUAAAGCAGAGGUGAUGUUAUCUGUCAUAAAGGGUUGACAGGAGGCGGGGGCCCAGCACCAGUAGGCUCCAACCUAGUAAAUGUUAGCAGCACAGAGCUGAUCGCUCAGGGAACAUUAACAUCAUCUACUCCCACAGAGCUGAGGCUUCAGCAGGCCCUCUUGCUGUUUCACUUGUAUUUUCUGAAAGGACCCAUAGACCCCUGACCAAUAGUUGUCCCUUUCAUCUCUUGUUCUCUCCUGGCCCCCCAUGUGAAAGGAAGGUGGUGAGUUGUCCUUGUGGCAGGAUGAAGGUGGGGGAAGGAGCUGAAGGAACAGACAGGCAGAGCCAGGUCGAGAGGAAGGACUUCUAGGAAGAGGAGACGCACACAGCAUCUUUGGGAAUGGAGCCUCAUCAUUCAUUUGGGGAAUAUAAAAAUUAGUGAAAGGGAAUAAAGGGAAAGGAGAGAAAAUCAGUGAGGGUGACAGAACAUGAGAGACUCCUAACUCUGGGAAAUGAAC